GGUAGGGAUACCCGCUGAACUUAAGC
rnacentral:rRNA from 1 species